rnacentral:rRNA from 1 species
GCAGUCGAGCGGAGAGAGGUAGCUUGCUGCUGAUCUUACGGCGGACGGGUGAGUAAUGCUUAUGAAUCUGCCUAUUAGUGGGGGACAACAUUUCGAAAGGAAUGCUAAUACCGCAUACGUCCUACGGGAGAAAGCAGGGGAUCUUCGGACCUUGCGCUAAUAGAUGAGCCUAAGUCGGAUUAGCUAGUUGGUGGGGUAAAGGCCUACCAAGGCGACGAUCUGUAGCGGGUCUGAGAGGAUGAUCCGCCACACUGGGACUGAGACACGGCCCAGACUCCUACGGGAGGCAGCAGUGGGGAAUAUUGGACAAUGGGCGGAAGCCUGAUCCAGCCAUGCCGCGUGUGUGAAGAAGGCCUUAUGGUUGUAAAGCACUUUAAGCGAGGAGGAGGCUACUUUAGUUAAUACCUAGAGAUAGUGGACGUUACUCGCAGAAUAAACACCGGCUAACUCUGUGCCAGCAGCCGCGGUAAUACAGAGGGUGCAAGCGUUAAUCGGAUUUACUGGGCGUAAAGCGCGCGUAGGCGGCUAAUUAAGUCAAAUGUGAAAUCCCCGAGCUUAACUUGGGAAUUGCAUUCGAUACUGGUUAGCUAGAGUGUGGGAGAGGAUGGUAGAAUUCCAGGUGUAGCGGUGAAAUGCGUAGAGAUCUGGAGGAAUACCGAUGGCGAAGGCAGCCAUCUGGCCUAACACUGACGCUGAGGUGCGAAAGCAUGGGGAGCAAACAGGAUUAGAUACCCUGGUAGUCCAUGCCGUAAACGAUGUUUACUAGCCGUUGGGGCCUUUGAGGCUUUAGUGGCGCAGCUAACGCGAUAAGUAGACCGCCUGGGGAGUACGGUCGCAAGACUAAAACUCAAAUGAAUUGACGGGGGCCCGCACAAGCGGUGGAGCAUGUGGUUUAAUUUGAUGCAACGCGAAGAACCUUACCUGGCCUUGACAUAGUAAGAACUUUCCAGAGAUGGAUUGGUGCCUUUGGGAACUUACAUACAGGUGCUGCAUGGCUGUUGUCAGCUUGUGUCGUGAGAUGUUGGGUUAAGUCCCGCAACGAGCGCAACCCUUUUCCUUAUUUGCCAGCGAGUAAUGUCGGGAACUUUAAGGAUACUGCCAGUGACAAACUGGAGGAAGGCGGGGACGACGUCAAGUCAUCAUGGCCCUUACGGCCAGGGCUACACACGUGCUACAAUGGUCGGUACAAAGGGUUGCUACCUAGCGAUAGGAUGCUA